GCUAAUGUAGCUCAGCCGGUAGAGCAGUUGAUUCGUAAUCAACAGGUCGUGGGUUCGAGUCCCACCAUUAGCUCCA
rnacentral:tRNA from 1 species